GACGAACGCUGGCGGCGUGCUUAACACAUGCAAGUCGAACGGUAAGGCUCCAGCUUGCUGGGGUACACGAGUGGCGAACGGGUGAGUAACACGUGGGUGACCUGCCCUGCACUUCGGGAUAAGCCUGGGAAACUGGGUCUAAUACCGGAUAGGACCGCACCGUGGGGGGGUGGUGGAAAGUUUUUUCGGUGUGGGAUGGGCCCGCGGCCUAUCAGCUUGUUGGUGGGGUAAUGGCCUACCAAGGCGGCGACGGGUAGCCGGCCUGAGAGGGUGGACGGCCACAUUGGGACUGAGACACGGCCCAGACUCCUACGGGAGGCAGCAGUGGGGAAUAUUGCACAAUGGGCGGAAGCCUGAUGCAGCGACGCCGCGUGGGGGAUGACGGCCUUCGGGUUGUAAACUCCUUUCACCAUCGACGAAGGGUUUCUGACGGUAGAUGGAGAAGAAGCACCGGCUAACUACGUG
rnacentral:rRNA from 1 species